GCACAAGCGGUGGAGCAUGUGGUUUAAUCGAAGCAACGCGAAGAACCUUACCAGGUCUUGACAUCCCCUGACAACCCAAGAGAUGGGCGUUCCCCUUCGGGGGACAGGGUGACAGGUGGUGCAUGGUUGUCGUCAGCUCGUGUCGUGAGAUGUUGGGUUAAGUCCCGCAACGAGCGCAACCCCUAUUGUUAGUUGCCAUCAUUCAGUUGGGCACUCUAGCGAGACUGCCGGUAAUAAACCGGAGGAAGUGGGGAUGACGUCAAAUCAUCAUGCCCCUUAUGACCUGGGCUACACACGUGCUACAAUGGUUGGUACAACGAGUUGCGAGUCGGUGACGGCGAGCUAAUCUCUUAAAGCCAAUCUCAGUUCGGAUUGUAGGCUGCAACUCGCCUACAUGAAGUCGGAAUCGCUAGUAAUCGCGGAUCAGCACGCCGCGGUGAAUACGUUCCCGGGUCUU
rnacentral:rRNA from 1 species